CAGGAAGUGGAGGGUGUUACCGUCAGCCAUACCCACACAGGUUCUCACAUCAAUGCAAAGGGCAGUGACAUGGAAAGCCAAGGAGUUCUGUACCUUUCCCUCUUCACCUCUAAUUCAGACUGUUUCCAUGGGUGUCUCCUGUAUAGGAGACAACACUGUUCAUGCAGAGGACAUAUAAAACACAAACUAACCCAAGCUGCCCAACUCACGUCUCCGUCAGCAAGAAGUGCAGGAGGUCCUCCUUCCAGCCUGCUCCUUUCUGCAGAGCCUAUGCCAGCACCCAGGAAACUGCAGAGAUCAGUUCUGGAUUGAGAUUGCGUCCCCAGCCUUGGAUCCUUUAACGUCCCAGAAGGCACACAUGAAAAAAGAAAAAUCCCCCUACUUACACUGUGAAGAGGUGCUAACAGCUUUAAAGAAUUACCCACCAAAUAUUAGGUGCAAUUUAAAACUACAUUUAAAGCAGCACGGGUAGUUUAAAAGUCUAUGUGGCCAGCUAAAAGUCAGAGAGAGAAAAUUGCUUGAACACGUGUUGGAUGAAUUUCUGUCUGCGUGGGAGAUAUCGCACCAGUGGGGUAAUAUACCCUCCUUUUUCAAAAAAAAGAGGCAGAUCCUUUAUCUGGUCUUUUGCAUGCUGUGUGAUUCCAAACCUGGGCAAAAGCCUUCAGCUCACUUCCAUUUACUGCUCACAGAACACAACUCUGCUAUCUAAAAAUCGUGGAAGAUUAUUUAUAGUGAAAGACAACCUUAGGCUAAACUAUUAAGUGAGGAUAAUGGAUAUGAGCCACCUAAGGCGUGUGGAGGGCUCCUUAAUGAAUUACUGGGUAAAACAAAGUCAGAUGCGCUCAGGUAGCGUCCAGUUCAAGCAGUGUGCUGUUAGAGGGCCAAGGAAGGCUCGCCUCAUGUCAAGACCUGGAAACUGCACUGCAAAGUGUUCCAGGCAUUGCCCUACACCCACUUUGAGGGCUCUUCAAGGGCUGCUCAGAUCAUCCUCUACAAUAUUUACUCAGCUUAUUGUAUGCUGUAUCAAUUUAAAGGUGCGCUGUAACUUAUUAGAUAGUUAUUAGUUUCCAUUUUUAGCCCUGAUCUAUUUCAUAGACCCUGAUGCCCCCUAUUUUAUGUAAGAAAGGACGUUUUAAUAGAUAUAAUCUAAAUUAGUUGGUAACUCGAUAACUUGUUCCAGUCUGCUUCUCUAAUGAAACCUGCAUUAAUGACCGCCUUCAGUAGGCAAUCUCGAACUUUAAGAAGGCACUUUAAAAUAUUCAUAACAUUUCUGGUGCAGUGUUGUUUGAACUGUAUUUAACAGACAUCUCAAAUGGGCGUUCUGGUGCUUUGCAGGAGUCAUUGUCAAUAAUGACUUUUGCAGCCCUGUCUUUGGGGCCAGGGCAGUAAUUUUGGUCGUGGCCAUGGGGCCAAGUCCCCAUGUGUCCCGUGUACUGGGCCAGAUGUGAGGAAAAAAACAACAAAUUAAGUAAUAGUCCACACUGUAAUUGGGAAUAAACUUCCUGAAGGAUUAGUCAAGGCACAAAUUUCUGAAAGACUUUAAAAAAAUAACUGACAGAAGGUUUACUUGUAACCUAAAAUCUUUCAAAAAGGGAAAAGAGUCAAACUGCAAUAAUUAAUAUUAAAUACUUAGUGUGCAAUUAAUGGUAAUUAUAUAUAUAAAAAAAGCAACCAAUUAAAUGCUGCAACAUAAUGCACCCGAAAUCUUGUAAACGAGUGGCAUUUGUAGCAAAUGCUAAGAGCUCCUUUAAGCCAGUCACUUCUUAAAGGCUUUUGCUUUGGGAAUAAGUGUUACCUUAAUACAUUUACUUAGAUACGAUGAAAGUCAGACUUAACCUUUGCACAGUUGAAAUAACUUUAGCAACAAAACAAUGGAGUAAAUGUGAACCUCUUCUGCAAAUGCAAAUGGUAAUGCAAUCAGUGCUCAGUAAAUAAAUAUAAACACGUUUGAGCCAUAAACUGACCAGUAGCUGUUAUAGGGGUUGUCCUGAUCCCUGCUGAGCAGAGGUGGCAUCCAUAACCAGGUGCUCCUGGGACACUGAAAUGCUAUUCUGCAUCGCCUCUUCUAUCAGCUAUUACAAAAUAAAUCCAAGUCUAACUCAGUGAGAAUUCCCAAGGAGAAGAGAGUGCUAAAUGGAUUUUAAACAGUCCAAACCCCAGUGCAUGAGCAGAAUUUGGGCCAAAAGUCCUGCCAGGGGCCAGUCAGCAAGAGCCCGCUGCCAAGUGCUGAUCCUUAGAUCAACACCUCAUCCGUAAGAGGAGCCCAGUCUGGAAAUCAAAGGAAGCCCACCAGAAAAAAAAAAAAAAAGGUAAAAAAAAAAAGCCAUAAAUCUGUGUUGGCUCCCAGCCCAGUGUGAUCUUACAGUAUGUUUUUGCUGAUGCUGCUUCUGGGAUGGGACAAAGGAAAUGGAUGACACGGAGAUGUCGGUGGCAGGAAGACCACCAGAUUGCCCGUAAAGCAGCAGCAGGCAGCGGGUGUAUGUGACAGGGCUGUCAUGGGGCUACAAGUUCAUCCCUCCAACUAUUUUUCUGCCUUGUGAGGUUUGCAGCAGCUCAGCUGCAACAUCUAAAGUGUGCUGGGAAGGGCUCUGUUGGAGAGGUGCAGUGCUGUGUGCUGGCAACGAGUGGAAGAGCAGCAGGGCUCACUUCAACGAUGGUUCUGUGAAAGCAGAAAGCAUCCCAACAAGUGGAAGGGACCUGAGGUUCUGCCACUGCAAAAUCAACAUCAGAUUCUGCUGAAAUUCCCUUGGGCAGUUACGGAGUGGGUAUUUCUCUGAGAGAUGUCCAAAUUGGAUGCACAGCACACCCAAAAACCAGGACUACAUCCCCCAAAAAUAUGGACCAGUGUUACGUCUCCGCUCCUCUUGUAAGCAGCUCCUCUGCAAACACAUCUGAACUAUUUCACUUACAGGCUUUGGUUUUAGCAAUUCCUUACUUAGUAUUUCUAAGGACUCAUCUGUAGGAUAUUAUAUAAACAUAUAUAUAUAUAAAAUAACAGAUAAUUACAGUAAGUUACAAAUGUGUGUUCUUCAUCAGCAGUACCUGUGAAGGAGGACACAGUUAACCAGUCAAAAAGGGUGACCAAAUCUUGUUUCUUUUCUUAAAGAAAGAGAUCAACCAAACCUGUUAAUCCAUUUGUUGCUUUCUGCUCUUCUUUUUGCGUAGUUGCUUUCAUUUUUUAUUUGCUUUCUUACGCACAAGAGAAUGAAAAUCUGUUUGCGGCUGGAACUUCUACAGCACAUCACGUAUUUUCUUUCUUUUUUCUUAUUAUUUUUUGUCUCCCAUAAUUAUUUUUCCAGAGAGCUGCUUUUCCAAUCAGGUCACCAACUCUGAAAAACAAAACUUCAAGGCAACGUUUUGAAAAAUUGGACCUCACUUUUCUUUCAGUAGAAAGAUUCACAUCAUUCGUGUGCAAGCCAAGGCUCAAAAAUAACAUAAAUCCUUUCAGUGCCGUCUCUCUCUUUGCCUGUGUAACAGAUAUCUCUGCUAACAUUUACUUUUGUAAUUUUUCACAUUGUUCUAGCUCUCAGAGGUUAAUAUUUACCAUUCAUUUUGGUAUUCACAAGCUACAGAGGUAAGCUUGCAAAUAUCUGCCUUGGGAAAAUGAGCAGUUCUGCCAGAAAAUAUGUUCAGGUUUCUUGGUGGAACUGUGGGAGACAACACUCCAUUGACAGCAUUUCACUGCAUUCAUCUGUUCGUGCUUUAAACAUCUGCGCCAUCAAUUCGUACAGUACAACAAUUGGUAUUUUGAAGGGAUAACCAGAUAAUUACAGCAAAUGUUUAUUAGUCUCUUUGAACGGCGAGCAUGCAUUGGGAAAAAAAAGUAAGCAAGCUUAUGAAAGAAUACAGGGAACACAGACAUGUUUGGGAAGUCACUGCUAUUAUAUCCUUACACCAACCAGGCAGUCGUUCUGUGGUUGGCAUCUGCACACACAGACAGUGCCGUGUGCUAGCAAAAUUCAUCAUAAGACAGAGCUGCCUGCACAAGCUGACCCACUGCUUGCAAUAAUAUCAAAUCCUAAAUGAAUUAAUUUGCUUGCUGACCAAGUAGUUUGCCAUAUUAAAGUGCAAGUUUGCAAGACAUGUAUUCUGUUAUCCCAGAUUGCACUCCUGACACUUUACAUUAUGAACAUUUAGUGUUCUUCCUUUGAUAUUUUGAACACUGACUACAAUGAAGCUGUCAGCACAAAGGAAUUUUUUAUUCAAUUUUCAGAUGUAACAAGCAAGGAUCUUACAGGAACUUCAUUAAGACUAUGGAAACAAUAGGGAUUCAAUUAUCUAGCUAUGGAAGACAGAAGAGUAUCUUGCAAUGGGCACAGUAAUCAGAGAUACGAAACAGUUUGUGGGGAGAGGAGAGGAGCAAUUUUACUUGGUUUCUAACAUGUGGAAAACAGUAUUUACUCCAAAUGCUCAUUUAGUCCAAGUGCUCAUAGUGACUAAGAGAGUGAUGAUUUACUCGGAGGCUGCACUAAGCUUGUACUGCUCUUGUCACCAUGAUCUAACGCUGGUAGUACAUUGUGAGCAAGCAGAGAUCAUUGAUUAACACUGCCAGACAGCUGCGUUGGAAUCAUCAAGUCAAUACUCUGUGCUCUUGGUCAAAAAAAAAAAAAAAAAAAGAAGAAGAAGAAGAAAGAAAAACUCCAACACAAAAAUAAUAACGAAAGAAGAGAUUGCUGCAUUUUUAUCAGCACGAGCUAUGUAAUCUAGAUUUAGUCAUCCACAGGGAGGGCAAAGCUCCUACAGGGAGAGCAAAUUUGUUUUGUCACAUCUUUGCAUGUAGCUAAAAUUCGAGCACUAGUACUAAUUCCCCUAAAGCAGGCUGCAGCCCACCCAGCCUCCUGAGGCAAGAGGAGACCAGAUAUGAAUGCAUAUAUGUAUAUAUAUUUACAGACCACAUGAAACUAAAUUUAAUAAACAUUCCAGGAAGGAACGGACUUGGCAGAAUAGCCAGACAAUGAAAUAAAGUUUUUUUACUGCAUGGUUGUGUUUUAAGACCUUGCAGAAAAUGAACUCCUCAGCGAUUGCAUUCUGAUGACUCUGGGAAUGCUUUUCAGUGUGCCAUAUUGUAUCACUUUCCACUGGACAGUGAUUGUUUUAAAGCCACAACAUAAGACACAAAUAUUUGAUUAAAAUGAAUUCCACCCUAAAAGUCUGGGUGUUCUUUUUUUAGGGAUUCAGAUGCAAAAAAUGAGCUGACUGUGGUCUGCUGAGGUCCCAGCAGUAUUGUCUGAUGCAAAAGUUCAGCUGUACAGGGAUUCAUUUGGAGUACUCACCGCCACUGAAAAUAGUAAUAAACAGUGUUUUGCAAUGGUCUUUGCAUUUCUUUAUCUGUCCUUAUUGUGUCUGAGAUGCAGAGAUGAGAACACUGCUUUAUCUCAUCUGCUUCAUCAGAGCUGCAAUUGGAGCAUAUACAAGCAAUAGUGUUUUAAAGUGCCACUAGAAUUGUAGCUCUAUCCAGGUUACACGAUAAAAUAACAAAUGAGAGAAAGAAUACUGGAGGUCGUGGAAAUACGGACCUAUAAAGAUACACCUCGGAUUCCCAUGCAUACUCAAGUAACAAGGUAGGACUGCAGGGAACAAGUUGAUGGCUUUCUCCGUGCAGCACUGCAGACAAUGAUGCUUUUUCACUCAAAUUCAUUUGCUUAUGGGGAACCAGGGAAAUUUUGACGAGAACUGGCCAAAGCUUAAUCUUUUCAGUCUAUAAAAAAUUUAAACAGUUUGCUCCCAUUUCAUAAAUGUUGACAUUUCCCACAGAGGGAGAAAAUAUCAUAUCAGAAUGUUUCCUUAAAAAGAAAUAGGAAAGGGCCCUGCGAUGGGUCUGCGAAGCUUGUUGAAUACCCAAUCUGCCAGGAGCCAACAGCAUGGGGUCUGCUUGACCAGCGGCUGGAGCACUCCUGGGAGCUGAGGCCUCACUUCAAAAGGGUUCAGCACAGCUCACAGCAGCCCCACACUGGCAGAGGAAGAGCUGGGUGAUGUGGAGGGGCCUCUAAAAGCUGUAACCCCUGGGCUCGGUCUCUCUGGCAAUCUAUGAGGUAAGCAAGCUGCUGACUUAAGUACAAAGUGAUCUUCUCUCUGGGCAUCAAUGGGUGCUUCUGCAAAGUGUUUCAGCUUCAAGGAGUCUUUAUGGAUAAAAUAAAUAUAAAAAUAAAAUAAAAAAAAGCAAAGCAUUUCUCCUUGCCGUUUCAUUAGAGGCUGCUAAAACCCACAAGCACCACGUCAAGAAGCAGAGCUGUGGGAGGUGCCAUGCCUGCCUUUACACUGGGAUUGAUCUCACGUACAGCUGGGAUUAGCAGUGGGCUGAGUCAUAUUCCAGUCAUUUCCUUCCAGAGAAAAGGGAAUAAAGAACGGGCCUGACACUGAGUUGUGGUACUCCUACCCCAUGUUUUUGAUUGCGUGUGAGGUCCUGGUGCUUCUACAUGGCCAAGGUCAAAGGGAAAGCCCACAAAGCUCCACUGGGUUGCAGAAGUGACCUCUGUGGAGUUGAGGUCUGGAUGUCUAAAUAGGAUGGGAUUAGCUAUUCCACAGCACACCUGAUGUAAUGCAGCUGAGCAGGAGAACCAGAACAGUAGCUUUUUCUUCUGCCAUUUAACAUACCUCAUAACCCUGAGGACAUUGUCUUAACCAAAGGCUUGAACUCUGGAUGAAUUGUAAUUCUCACAGCAUCGAAACCCAGGAGAGUGCAAUGCUUGCCAGAAAGAUCCUGAAGGGGAGAAGAAAAAAAAAAUGAACAAACUUGAUAAUUAUGGUUAAAAAAAAGAGAGAGAGAGAGAGAAUAUGCACAUCCAUAGUUUUGCUAAGUUUGGGGUUGACGAGAAGAAUCAAAGUGGUAGCCUGGAGAGAAAAUCUGUAUUUGAGGUGUGAGGUUAACUGACAAAAAAAAUCAAACUUAAGACUGAAGUGCAUAACUUAAAGAACAACUAAAACCUACAAGGAACCUUUCAAGAAAAAAAGCAUCAGAUUACAUUUUAUGACCAAGAGGCAAAGCUAAGAAAAAUAUUUCAAACAGAAGAGCUGUUAUUUUUGUAGCUUUGAAACAAUACGUAACUAGCACAGAAGAUAAUACGAUACAAGACAGGUAAUCCAAUCAUUUAAGAGUUUACGGCUGCAGUCUUCUCCACAAGAGAGAUUCGACUGUGCUUCGUCUCUUUCCAUAAAUGAAUAAAUUCGGGAAAUCGUAAGCACGGGUAUUCGGAUUUGUUUUCUCUUUCGAGGCUUGAAAAAUCAGAGCCAGUGGCCUUGAGUGCUGCAGGAGACCUUCCACAGUGAGCCUGUAUUGCAUCCACACACAAAGCAAAAUUAAUCCGAACGGCACUGCUCCCCCAGCACGCUUUCUUUAAUAAUUUGAUUUCAUCAUCAAGUUUAAUUGCAGAUUUCAAAGUUCUUUACCUACGCAAUCCUGAGCUGAUACCGGAGCCUUCAACACACCCAGCUGAAUCGUUCCUGGUUCCCAAUGUAACUUUGCUCUUAUGCUGUGAGUCCCUGCAUUGGGUCCAGGUGCCCAUAAUGGAAGCCUCCGGGUGGGAUUAUCUUCCCAGGGCCACCUGGGGAGGAACCCCUCCUGGUACACAAAGGGUUCACACCGACCAGGGGAAAAGGAGAGUCAAAUUGCUCUCUUAUCUUUUGGAGUGAUUCUUUCAGCCAUUUGGCUUAAAAACAAUUGCUUUGUGUUGGAAAUGUUCUACUUUUCAGAAAACAGUGACAUCGUUGCAGCUAAGAAUACAUGGCUAUAAGCAAUUACUGCGUUUCUUUGGGAGAAAGGAGAGCUUUACCAAGUUGGAGGGCUAACUUGUUUCUUUUAGAUCUACCAGCCAUUGAGGGAAACGCAGACAAGUUGCAAGUGCGGAGACCAAAAUUUGUGCUGUGAUCGUUUAGGAAAGAACACAGAACUGCAACAGUUUCCUCAGCCUUCUAUCCCUCUGCCUGGGGGAGACGGCAAGUAAACAGCUACCUUAGACAAAGGACUGAGGCUGUGAGCCACAGAGGAAGGCUGGGGGAGGUGUGGGAUUUGGGUGCUGUAGCAUCCGCAUAUCCCAUUGAUUAGUUUGGGCACUCAGGACCUUUGCUGUCACAGGUAAGUAGGGCUUUCCAAGAUGCUAAACACUCCCCAGGCGCUGCAGAGGCAGCCCAGGCAUCUAAAUUAGAGCUGUGUGCUCUUCUCCUGGGAGGUGGGGUGCGGCAGUUGUGUGCCACUGAGCGCGGUGCAGGAAAGUCCCUUCGUGCAUCAGUGCAAUUGAUGGAGCUCAGGUUGGGAAUACGAUUUUGAAGGCCACCUCCCAGGUGUCCCCGACUGAGCUGGCAUCACACAGCCAGCACGGAGCACACAGACUGCAUCUUUUUGGGUGAAGCUAAACCAGAAGAAGUGUUCCAGGCUGUCGUGGGUUUGCAGUUUGCAGGACUGGACUCGCUGUCAUCGUGAUCACCUUGAAAAGGCUUUUGUUGAGAACAUCUGGUACUCAGUACCAACAGUUUCAGAUCUGCUCCAAUGAGUCGUUGCCAUUGCCAGUGCAGCCUUUGUGAAGCAGCUUUACUAACCAAAGAUGUUUGAUAACACCACUCCUUGCUCUUCUAGAGAAGAUAUUCUUCUCUGUUCAGGCAUCGGAGCAGAGGGCAGAAGUUGAGGGCUGUCACUGCACUGCAUCACUCCUUACACCCAAAGAUUUCCAGAGGCCUGUAAACCACAGCCUGGAACAUGCACAGACAUUGCCCACGUUUUAAGCAGGAGUAACAAAAGUUCAGUACAAUGUCAGAAACAAAAUGGGAGCAGACACCUAACUCAGCUUUCACCCAGCAGCUACUAUUAAUUAAACAAUUCUGAUGUCUGAUUAACCUCACAUAAAAUUCUGUGAAUGACAUGAGUUCUCCUCCAUAUGUGGCGCUGGAAAUCUCCCACCAUUUCUAGAAUAAUUCAGCAGUGGGGAUACGAGCAGAGCAGGAAGACCAAACGGCAGUAAAAGAGCAGGAGGAAAUUGGCUGCUGCUUUACCAAUUUCCUGUUGGGGCUCUUCAGGCUGUAUUGCUCAGGACAACCAUUACAAAGGGGUUUGCAGCUCUGGAAAGCUUUUAUUGACCUCUCUGUAAAUACAAAAUGGCCCGUGAAUUAAACGGGAGGGUCACUCUGAGGAAGUUCAACAGACUUGGCAGAUUCUUGGGAAUAAGCAAGAGCAGGGAUCAAGAGGACUGAUUGAAAAAGUGCAGUUAUUGUGCAGAAGAUUCCUUUUCUUGGGAGCAAGCUGCACAGGGUGUUCUAGGCCAGGAUUUACAAGCCUAAUGAAGGGUGUUGGUUUUUCCCCUUCCAUGCCAAAAAUGUCGGAUAAAGACAAACUAGAUUUACAAGGAACUGUCUGGAUGCUGACAAGACAUUUGCAAAUGUCACCCAUGCAAUCCCCUUUUCUACCCACGUGUGCACGCACCUUCCCACAAGUCACAACCCUGCUCAUGAAAUGGGACCUGGGCAUUGGCAGAGCUCAGCUCACCUGGCCGUGCAGCUUUCCCCAGCUUUGCAAGCUACUCCUCUAAUUACAUCAAAAAUUGACCAAAAAGAGCUUUGUGAAAACACUUGGUUUAUCUCUCUCUCUCCUCUUUCUGUUUUCUUCCUUUUUGUUAGCACUGCACAAUCAAUAUUUUCUUUCCGCUUCUUUUUGCAAGGACUCAGAACAAGUUGCAACCAUUACCUUUACAUGAAUUCCCUUGUUAGUACUGGAAACUGUUUCAUCCAAGUGAGCACUGUGUGUCUUUGUUUGAAAUUAGCUUCUUCAAUUAGUUAAAAAAGCAGAAGAGAUAAGGAUUCUCCUGCACAUCUGCAUGCUAACAUUUUUAUUUGUCCUUUGCUCACAUUUGUUUUAAUCAGCGAUGACUGAAAAUCCAAGGAGUUUUGCAGGAGAUCCACAGAUUCUUGGUUUAGAUCAUGAUGUCCUUGAUAAAAGCCUAUAUCAAAUAAAAGGAGUUCUUGCUACUUAAUGUUCCCAGUAAAUUAGUGCUGUGGAUAUUAGAGAGAAGCCUGACCAUGAAAGUUUUGAAAAGAUAUCUAUGUUUCAUCUUGAGAGUAUUAAAAAUAUUUUAAGGCAAGAAGUUACAAUUACCUUGGAAAUUUAAUACAUUCAUUUCACCUAGAGACUCCAUUUCAGAGCAGCGCAAAUCUCCCUAACCUCUUCUGUUAGCACUCUAGUUUUUAAGCAGGAAACCCACUUUAGGAUGUGCUGACAGAGUCAGCUUUUCUGUAACAAGCUCCAAAGGAAAACACAAUUAUUACAGUGUGCUCAUUGAUCACGUUUCAUUUUGAGGGAGAAGUCUCUGACAAGGACAGUGUGACUGAAAUCUGUAGAAGCAUGGAUGGGUGCUGCCUCCAAAGCCCAUUGGGGCUGCCUGCACCCCACAUCCCUGCUGCAUCCCCCCUGGUUCGACCACCUUGCUGCUAUCCCCAACUCACAGCCACAGUGGACAUAGCCUUCAGUGUGGGAUGGAGCUACCUCAUUGGGGUUUGCAAAAACAGUUUAGUGCCUGUAAAAUUUCAGCUUAACCACCUCUUGGUGCUAAGCCUCGAAAAUAUUACCUGACAAAUAAUAAAAAAGGCCAUGUUAGUUUAGUUACCUCCUCUUACAAGCACUGAUUUCAAAAAGCCACCUGUCCUUGGGUGCUGCUCCCCAUCUUCUGUGCCCAUCUGCACCAGGACCCCAUGGAAGGUGCUGACUGAAUGCUGUCCGGAAGCAAACUAUGUUUGUCACAGCAAGCUUUCUCAGGAGCUUUCCUGCAGAAAUCCAGCACCUGACAAGCUGACAAAGCCAAGAGGUAUUUGGAAUUGUGAAGUGUGAAUGAAAGUUUCUUAGGUCUUGCUGUGCCUGAACUCAAGGCAUGAAGGAAAGCAAAGGCCUGGGAAGAAAAUAAGAAGGUGCGCUUGUGUGAACCACAAUAUGUGCUUCCUAAUUUUACACCUACUGCUACAGUAUCCUGUGUAAGAAAGUAAAAUCCCUCGGGGAGGUAUCAGAAAUAAAUUAACCUUAAACCUGAUCAGUAGUUGGUUACAGGACAACUGGGCAGCAAUGGGAUUGCUCCACAGUGAGUAACUCCCAGACUGGGGACAUCAUCAUGUUCCAGGUCUUACUGGCAAUUGCCUCCAUGCCAUACACACAAAGCCUGUAAAAUUGUGUGCCAGCACAGGAUCAAUAAAUUCCAUUCAGCCUGAGAAAUCUUCCAAAAUCAGAAAACCGAUGAGCUCUUCUUUGACUGGUGAUUGCCAAACAUUAAUGACCUGGAAAGGCUGACCAGCAGACUGAGCAAUGAGCAUGUGCGUGAGCUGUGCGUGUGCGUGGAGAAGAGAGAACAUCUUCAAAGGUGGGAGCCUCACCCGCAGGUCUCCCGAGCCCUCUCAGGUAUGAAAUGGAAGGCUUAGUCGAUUUGUAAAAAUGGGGAAAUGGACAGGCUUCACAGAACCAGAAAUUGAUAAAAUGUAGAAAACUAUGUUUAUUUUAAUUUCCUGUGGCAACCUGGAAGUUGGAGAAGAUCCUGCCAGUUUUCAGUCUUGAAGGUGCGUAUACAAAAUCAUGGAUGCAAUAGUAAAAUGAAUACAUUAAAUCAGUAAUAAAUUUAGAAGUGUGCACUCCCAUAUUUCACACUAAUUUCUGUGUCAUCCAAAAACAAAAACAAAA
ensembl:lncRNA